rnacentral:rRNA from 1 species
CGUACGCUGGCGGCACGCCUUAUACAUGCAAGUCGAACGAAGUAGCAAUACUUAGUGGCAGACGGGUGAGUAACAUGUAGGUAUCUACCCUUUGGUGAGGAAUAACACGAGGAAACUUGUGCUAAUACCUCAUAAGUCUUUACGGAGAAAGCUUUAUGCGCCAUUGGAUGAGCCUGCACUUGAUUAGUUUGUUGGUGGGGUAAAGGCCUACCAAGACUGUGAUCAAUAGCUGAUUUGAGAGGAUGAUCAGCCACAUUGGGACUGAGACACGGCCCAAACUCCUACGGGAGGCAGCAGUGGGGAAUCUUGCACAAUGGAGGAAACUCUGAUGCAGCGAUGCCGCGUGAGUGAAGAAGGCCUUUGGGUUGUAAAGCUCUUUCGUCGGGGAAGAAAAUGACUGUACCCGAAUAAGAAGGUCCGGCUAA